UACGUAGGUGGCAAGCGUUAUCCGGAAUUAUUGGGCGUAAAGGGUGCGUAGGCGGUUUAUUAAGUCUAUGGUGAAAGUGCGGGGCUCAACCCCGUAUGGCCAUAGAAACUGGUAGACUUGAGUGCAGGAGAGGGCAAUGGAAUUCCAUGUGUAGCGGUAAAAUGCGUAGAUAUAUGGAGGAACACCAGUGGCGAAGGCGGUUGCCUGGCCUGUAACUGACGCUGAAGCACGAAAGCGUGGGGAGCAAAUAGGAUUAGAUACCCUAGUAGUCCACGCCGUAAACGAUGAAUACUAAGUGUUGGAGAAAUUCAGUGCUGCAGUUAACGCAAUAAGUAUUCCGCCUGGGGAGUAUGCACGCAAGUGUGAAACUCAAAGGAAUUGACGGGACCCCGCACAAGCGGUGGAUUAUGUUGUUUAAUUCGACGCAACGCGAAGAACCUUACCAGGCCUUGACAUACUCAGCAAAGCCCUAGAGAUAGGGUGGAGGUUAUCUGGGAUACAGGUGGUGCAUGGUUGUCGUCAGCUCGUGUCGUGAGAUGUUGGGUUAAGUCCCGCAACGAGCGCAACCCUUGUCUUUAGUUACCAUCAUUCAGUUGGGGACUCUAGAGAGACUGCCGGUGAUAAACCGGAGGAAGGUGGGGAUGACGUCAAAUCAUCAUGCCCCUUAUGGCCUGGGCUACAAACGUAAUACAAUGGCGUAUACAAAGGGAUGCGAAAGGGUGACCUGGAGCAAAACUCAUAAAGUACGUCUCAGUUCAGAUUGGAGUCUGCAACUCGACUCCAUGAAGGCGGAAUCGCUAGUAAUCGCGGAUCAGCAUGCCGCGGUGAAUACGUUCUCGGGGUU
rnacentral:rRNA from 1 species